GGAAUUUUGGACAAUGGGCGCAAGCCUGAUACAGCAAUGCCGCGUGAGUGAAGAAGGCCUUCGGGUUGUAAAGCUCUUUUGUCAGGGAAGAAACGGUGGGAGCUAAUAUCUCUCACUAAUGCCGGUACCUGAAGAAUAAGCACCUGCUAACUACGUGCCAGCAGCCGCGGUAAUACGUAGGGUGCAAGCGUUAAUCGGAAUUCCUGGGCGUAAAGCGUGCGCAGGCGGUUUUGUAAGUCUGUCGUGAAAUCCCCGGGCUCAACCUGGGAAUUGCGAUGGAGACUGCAAGGCUAAAAUCUGGCAGAGGGGGGUAGAAUUCCACGUGUAGCAGUGAAAUGCGUAGAGAUGUGGAGGAACACCGAUGGCGAAGGCAGCCCCCUGGGUCAAGAUUGACGCUCAUGCACGAAAGCGUGGGGAGCAAAC
rnacentral:rRNA from 1 species